AUACCUUUCUCGGCCUUUUGGCUAAGAUCAAGUGUAGUAUCUGUUCUUAUCAGUUUAAUAUCUGAUAUGUGGACCAUUGGUUCACACGAUAUUAAAUUUAUUUUUUGAGGGGAAAGUCCUAUCACUAUAGCUUGCUAUUGGGGGCUUUAAGCGUCGUCAUGGUGUUGCACUACUGCCUUGGCCUGGCGCACCCCAC
rfam:Daucus carota subsp. sativus cultivar DH1 chromosome 5, whole genome shotgun sequence.